rnacentral:rRNA from 1 species
UACAGAGGGUGCAAGCGUUGUUCGGAAUUAUUGGGCGUAAAGCGCGUGUAGGCGGCUUUGCAAGUCGGGUGUGAAAGCCCUCAGCUUAACUGAGGAAGUGCGCCCGAAACUGCAGAGCUUGAAUACCGGAGAGGAUGGCGGAAUUCCCCAAGUAGAGGUGAAAUUCGUAGAUAUGGGGAGGAACACCGGUGGCGAAGGCGGCCUCCUGGGCUAGUACUGACGCUCAUGCACGAAAGCGUGGGGAGCAAACAGG